rnacentral:rRNA from 1 species
AUGGCCGCCGCCGCCGCGGCAACUCCUCACCUCGCCGCGGUCGGGACUGGGUCCCACCAUCACCACCAGCCGCCGCCUCGUCCGCCCGUGUCCAUCUCGGCCAGACCGAGGGCGCGCAUCGUGCCCGUCGCCGCGGCGGCCGCUACUCCGGCCACCGACGGCGUCGCGCCGGUGCCACCCCACCCCAGGCGCUCGGUUGUAAAGCGCCACACGAUAUCAGUUUUUGUUGGGGAUGAGAGUGGGAUGAUCAAUCGGAUUGCCGGGGUCUUCGCGAGAAGAGGGUACAACAUUGAGUCAUUGGCAGUUGGGCUGAACAAGGACAAGGCGCUGUUCACCAUUGUAGUGUCAGGAACAGAGAAAAUACUCACACAGGUCGUGGAGCAGCUCUACAAACUUGUCAAUGUUAUACAGGUUGAUGAUUUGUCAAAGGAACCACAAGUUGAAAGAGAGCUCAUGCUUAUAAAACUAAACGUAGAGCCGGAACAGCGACUCGAGGUGAUGGGUUUGGUUGACAUUUUCAGAGCCAAAGUGGUUGAUCUUUCAGACCAUACACUAACUGUUGAGGUAACUGGCGAUCCUGGAAAAAUUGCUGCUGUACAGAGGAACCUGAACAAAUUCGGGAUCAAAGAAGUUGCCAGAACUGGCAAGAUAGCUUUGCGGCGUGAGAAAAUGGGACAAACAGCUCCUUUUUGGAGGUUCUCCGUAGCUUCCUAUCCUGAUCUUGAAGUAAAAAUGCCUUCAAAAUCUACACUAAGCACUGCAAAGACAACCAGUGGGGAUUCUGAGGAAUCAUCCCAGGGCGAUGUUUAUCCAGUGGAAUCUUAUGAAAGCUUCUCGAUGAAUCAAAUUCUUGAUGCUCAUUGGGGUGCCAUGACUGACAGUGAUCCUACAGGGUUUUGUUCACAUACUUUGUCGAUCCUUGUGAAUGAUUCCCCUGGAGUUCUUAAUGUCGUAACGGGUGUCUUUGCCCGGAGGGGCUACAAUAUUCAGAGUCUUGCUGUUGGCCCAGCUGAAAAAACGGGCACUUCUCGCAUCACCACUGUCGUUCCUGGAAAUGAUGAAUCUAUCGCCAAGCUAGUACAACAACUUUACAAGCUCAUUGAUGUUUAUGAGGUUCAAGAUCUUACACAUUUACCAUUUGCGGCUAGAGAGUUAAUGAUCAUAAAGGUCGCUGGGAACACCUCAGCUCGCAGGGAAAUCCUGGAUAUUGCUGAGGAUGUUUUCAGGGCCAAAACGGUUGAUGUAUCAGGCCACACAAUAACUCUUCAGCUUACUGGAGACCUUGAUAAAAUGGUUGCACUACAAAGGUUGCUUGAGCCCUACGGCAUCUGUGAGAUUGCACGAACUGGCAGGGUUGCGCUGUGCCGUGAGUCAGGAGUCGAUUCUAAGUACCUCCGGGGGUAUUCCCUUCCUGGAUAG